UUCACCAUGUUAGCCAGGAUGGUCUCGAUCUCCUGACCUCGUGAUCCACCCGCGCCCGGCCUGUAAGAUUUUUAAAAAUAUAUUUAUACAUCAUGUAAUUUCAAGUACUCAAACUUUGUUUAUGGUCUUCUCUUUCCCUAAAUAGAAUUUCCUUUUCAUCACUUGUAAAAGUCAACUCUCUAACUACUGCAUCUCACAGCUGAACAGGUAACCAUGUUCACUCGACCUGCUUUAAAUACAUAUCCCUUAAUGCUGCCCAUAGCCAGACUAUGUUUCCUUAGUCCAUUCACUCUUCCACUACCUCUUGCCUUUUCUUUUCUCAAGCCUUCAAUACCUCCUCCCUUAUCCUCAUUCUCAGCAGAUGAUCUUGUUUCCUAUUUCACUGUAAAAGGAGAAGCCAUGGGCUGGGCGUGGUGGCUCGUUCCUGAAAUCCCAGCACUUUGGGAGGCUGAGGCGGGUGGAUCACCUGAGGCCGGGCGUUUGAGACCAGCCUGACCAACAUGGAGAAACCCCGUCGCUACUAAAAAUACAAAAUUAGCCGGGCGUGGUGGCACAUGCCUGUAAUCCCAGCUACUCAGGAGGCUGAGGCAGGAGAAUCGCUUGAACCCAGGAGGCGGAGGUUGCGGUGAGCUGAGAUCGCACCAUUGCACUCGAGCCUGGGCAACAAGAGCGAAACUCCGUCUCAAAAAAAAAGGAAAAAAAAAAAAGAAGUGAUAAGAAGGAAAUUGGCACAAAAAGGAUAGCCCAUCAUGUUCUUUUUGGGCCUAAUUCUCUUCACCCAUUUGCCCUGUUCCCCAGCUUUUACUAGACCCCAGGCCAUUUUGGUACUAAUCUGUUGGGCCAAAGGAAAAAAGUAAUGGAGAACUAAUGAAAAUAAUAAUGUGUUUGUUGUAUUUGUAAUGUAUUUCAAAUAACUGAUACCGUGCUUCCAGAAGAUUUUUCUAACAGUGUUUGCAGGCUAUAAAAUAGUGCUUUCACUUAGAAAAGGCCAGACAUGGUGGUUCAUGCCUGUAAUCCCUAGCACUUUGAGAGGCCAAGGUGAAUGAAUCACUUGAGGUCAGGAGUUUGAGACCAGCCUGGCCAACAUGGCAAAACCCUGCCUCUACUAAAAAUAUAAAAAUUAGCCAGGCAUGCUGGCACAUGCCUGUAAUCCCAGCUACUUGGGAGGCUGAGGCAGGAGAAUUGCUUGAACCUAGGAGGCGGAGGUUGCAGUGAGCCAAGAUCCUGCCACUGCACUCCAGCCUGGGCAACUCCAUCUCAAAAAAAAAAAAAAGAAAGAGGCAGAAUUACCAUUCUCAUCCACCUUAAUCUGUAAUAGCCUCAGAGCCCUGACUAAGAGGACUCUGAGGGCAACCCAAAUCCUCUCCUAGGACUACCAAAUAGUCUCCUUUCUAAGAUAAGAUAUUAUAUUAAUGCUCAUUUAGGCAGUGGCUUUCAGACUUUUGUUGUUUAUUUCCCACAAUAAGAAAUAUAUUUUACAUCUACAUCAAGACAGUUCAAACAUACACAGUCACAUUUAUGACUGAAAUGAAAGUUCACGAGACCAUAGUUAUCUUUAUGAUACGCAAUGAUGAGUCAAAGCUUAUAAUUUAGAAAAUACUACAUUAAAGAAUUAUUAGAGGGAGCAUAGGCUGGGUGCGGUGGCUCAUGCCUCUAAUAGACAAAAUCUUUAAGAUUCCACAAAUAGCUAGAUGAACAUUAGUUUGGAAACUACUCAACUAUAACUCCCCACCCUCCACAUACACACAAAAAGGAGUGUCCACAUGCAUGAUUAAGCUGCUUGGCUAUGAAUAAAUGACUCAUAUGACUGUUUGUCUAAGUGGUAAAAAGCAAAGCUGAUGUAGGAACAAGUAAGGUAAAAUCAAUUAGGGGAAGGGAACAGCUCCUCCCUAUUGUUCUUUUUUGUUCUCCACCAGCAUAAACACUGCUAUCCAAGUAGCCUCUGAAUUACAGAGGGCUGAAAAUUAAGCCCUGAAUUGGGGAAAGGGACUAGAUGGAUUCAAUGGUUUCUAAGUUACUUUUAAAUCCUAAAACUUUAUUCUCUCAAUAAACAUUUACUGAUUGCUUAAUACGUACCAGGCACCAUGCCGGGAGAUAAGGAUCCAACAUAAGACAAACAGGGCUGAUGCUUUUGGAAAGCUCAUAUUCAAGCUGGGGAGACAAACAACAUACAAUUUCAGAAGUUCUCAUCAUGAUACUUUAAGGAUGAGGAGAGCUGAUGUGGCUGGCCUGAAAAAUAAGGUUGCUGUAGCUACCUUCUGCAUAUGGAUAUCCAGUUUUCCCAGCACCACUUAUUAAAGAGACUGUCUUUUCUGCAGUGUAUAUUCUUGGCACCAUUGUUGAAAAUGAAUUCAUUGUAGGUGUGUGGGUUUGUUUCUGGGUUCUCUAUUCUGUUCAACUUGUCUAUGUGUCUGUUUUUAUGCCAGUACCAUGUCAUUUUAGUUACCAGAGCUCUGCAGUAUAAUUUGAAACCAGGUCAUGUGAUUCCUCCAGUUUUGUGGUAUUAGGAUAGGUUUGGCUAUUCUGAGUCUUUUGUGGUUCCAUAUAAAUUUUAGAAUCUUUUUUUUCUAUUUCUGUGAAGAAUGUCAUUGGUAUUUUGAUAGGGAUUGCAUUGAAUCUGUAGAUUGCUUUGGGUAGUAUGGACAUUUUAACAAUAUUCAUUCUUCCAAUCCAUGAACAUGGAAUACCUUUUCAUUUUUUGGUGUCCAUUUCAAUUUCUUUCAUCAGUCUUUUAUAGUUUUCAUUAUAGAGAUCUUUCACUUCUUGGAUUAACUCCUACGUAUUUAAUUUUAUUUGUAGCUAUUGUAAAUGGGAUUACUUUUUUUUUUUGGACGGAGUUUCACCCUUGGCAUCCAGGCUAGUGUGCAAUGGCGCAAUCUCAGCUCACUGCAACCUCCACCUCCCAGGUUCAAGCAAUUCUCCUGCCUUAGCCUCCUCAGUAGCUGGAAUUACAGGUGCCCGCCACCAUGCCCGGCUAAUUUUUGUAUUUUUAGUAGAGACAGGGUUUCACCACGUUGGUCAGGCUGGUCUUGAACUCCUGACCUCAGAUGAUCUGCCCACCUUGGCCUCCUAAAGUGCUGGGAUUACAGGCAUGAGCCACCACUUCCAGCAAGGGAUUACUUUUUUAAUCUCUUUUUCAGAUUUUUGACUGUUGGCAUAUAGAAAUCCUACUAAUUUUUGUAUGUUGAUUUUGUAUCCUGGAACUUUACUGAAUCAGUUUAUAAUUUGUUUAUUUGUUUAUAGUAGUUUUUUGGUGGACUCUUUCAGUUUUUCCAAAUAUAAGAUCAUAUCAUUGGCAAACAAGGACAGUUUGAUUUCUUCUAUUCCAAUUUGGAUGCCUUUAUUUCUUUCUCUUGUCUGAUUGCUCUAGUUUAGGACUUGCAUUACUAUGUUGAAUAACAGUGAUGAAAGUGGGCAUCCUUGCCAUGUUCCAGAUCUUAGAGAAAAGGCUUUCAGUUUUUCACCAUUCAGUUUGAUACUAGCUGUGGCAGCUUCCAUGAGAAUCAUGCAGUUUGAAGAAGCAUUUCACUGAAAAAUAGGGAUUGCUGUUCUGGAAAGACAAAACAAUUGUCCACAAUCCUAAAGAAGAAGUGAACACAAUAAUUAAAUCCAUGUUAUUCUGGGUCUAAAGCUUAUAUUCUUAAUUACUAUAUUAUCCCAUCUUAAAAUUUUAAUUUGGAAAUUACAUAUCUAAAUAUUAUAAUCAAUAAAGUUGAACACACAUGAUGAAGUGUGAAAAGAAGUAAAAAACAGAUGUGUGAAAUGAUUCCAUAAUUACUAAUGUGCUUAUGUUUCAAAGAGUUUUCACAACCCAACAAAACUUACCCUCUCUGGGGCCUUUCUAAAAACAAACAACAACAAAAAAAAAACUCAUUCUCCAUUCUUCCACCUGCUGUUAUCUGCUCCACAAAACAAAAAUGCAUCUUAUUCACCUUAGAAUCCACAGGUACUUGGUAGAGGCUCAAAAAAUGUUUAUUUAGUAAAACCAAAAUGUCUUCCAAAAAAUAAUAAUAGUUCUUUUCUUUUUCUUUUGUUUUUUUUUGUUUUUGUUUUUGUUUUUGUGAUACAGAAACUCACUCUGUCUCCCAGGCUGGAGUGCAAUGGCACGAUCUCGGCUUACUGCAACCUCUGCCUCCCGAGUUCAGGUGAUUCUCCUGCCUCAGCCUCCCGAGUUGCUAGAAUUACAGGUGCCCAGCACCACGCCCAGCUAAUUUUUCUAUUUUUAGUAGAGAUGGGGUUCUGCCAUGUUGACCUUGCUGGUCUCGAACUCUUGGCCUCAAGUGAUCUGCCCACCUCAGCCUCCCAAAUGCUGGGAUUACAGGUGUGAGCCACCACGCCCAGCCAAGUAACAAUAUUUCUGGAUAUAAUACCUCAAAACUCAGCACAGAAAGAUAUAAAGGGAUAAAAAAUUUAUAAUAUAGUCAUACAAUGAAAUAAAAUGAAAUAUAAAGCAAUAAAAAGGAACGGACAGCUGAUAGAUGUAACAAUAUGGAUGAAUCUCAAAAGCAAUAUCGAAAGAUCAAAAGGGUAUAUAUUACAUGAUUCCAUUCUGGAAAAGGCAAAACUAUAGGGACAGAAAACAAGUCAGUGAUAGGCAGUGGGCCGGGGGGGAAGUGAUUUAUUAUAAAGAGGCAUGAGGAAACUUUAGGAUGACAUAAAUGUUCUAUGUCUUUGUAUGGUGGUGGGUACAUGACUGUAUACUUUUGACAGAGGUAUAUCUAAAAGGGGUGAGUUUUACUGUGUAUAAAUUAUACCUCAAUGAACCUGACUAAAAAAAUAAAAGAAGAUGUAAAAAUCUUAAUAUAACACUCUUUGUUAAUUUACCUAAAAUACACCUAUUAAUUUUGAAGUAAAUAUCAGAGAAUUUCACAGAAACUAUAAAAGCAAUUGUCCUGCCAUUAGCACAGUCAAAUAAUCAUUUAACUAUAGCAUUUCAAAGAUACAGUUAAUUCUAAAUAUUUAUUUGCUAUUGUUUUUGUGAAGAACAUUUUGAACAUGAAAAGGAGGUGAGAAAUGAGAUAUGGGCUUUAAUUUGGGAGAAAUACAUGGAGCUAGGAAAUGGAAAGGAAUAAAAAAAUGAGCUUUCUUCUAUGAAAGGUACUUAAGGGCUGGGCGCAGUGGUUCAUGCCUGUAAUUCCAACGGUUUGGGAAGCCGAGGUGGGCAGAUCAAAUAAGCUCAGGAGUUUGAGACCAACGUAGGCAAAAUGGCAAAACUCCAUCUAUACAGAAAAUACACCAAGUGUGGUGGUGUGUGCCUGUAGUCCCAUUUACUUGGGAGGCUGAGGUGGGAGGACUACUUGAGCCCAGGAAGCGGAGGUUGUAGUGAGCCAAGAUUGUGCCACUGCACUCCAGCCUGGGUGACAGAAUGAGACCCUGUCUCAAAAAAAAAAAAAAAAAAAAAAAAAACAAAGAAAAGAAAAGGUACUUAAUAUCUUCAAAUAUUCAAGAUCUGAAUGAGAAAAAUGUAAUUUUAGGUCAGGUGUAUAUAAAAAGUAUCCAGCAAUUUCAUAGCUACUUAUCUUCAUGGACUGUUUCCUUGGUUGGUUAUCUCUGUCACGGUUCAUAUCACACUGAGGGUUGUUACCUGCUGGCUUUCACAUCUUCCUGUUCUUUCACUCAUUCACUAGACUUUUCACUCAUUUAAUCAUUAUUUUCAAACAUCUCUGUGUGCCAGACACUGGAGUAGAUAUGCAAGGGUGAGUAAAACACAUGAGAUCCCUGCCCUUUCAUUACAUUUAAUGAGAAGAGAGACAAAAAAAAAAGUGGAUACUUUCAGAUUAUGUUAAGUGUUAUGAAGAAAUAAAACAGAGUAAUGGGGCUCAGAAUGACUUUGCAGGUGAGAGAUAGGUGGCUGGAAUAUUUUAGAUAGAAUGGUGAAGGGAUCUGAGGAGACAAUUUGUACUGACAGCUCUGGAAAGUGAACAAAGAGAAGGAGCCAGCCAUGGGAAGAGUUCCAGCCAUAGGAAACAAUAAGAGCAAAAGCCCGAGACAGUAAUGCAUUUGACAUUAAAUGAGAGGGCUGUAAAGCAGGCCUAUGUGGCCAGGGUGCAGUCAACAAGGGGAGAGUGGUAGGAAAGCUAUGCAGGUCUUAGAGGCUUUGGAAAGAGCUUCAGUUUUUUCUAAGAGCAAUGGAAAAUUAUCAUAGGGUGUUAAGUAGGGCAGAGAUGUGGUUUUGUUUUAGAAGGCUCUCUGGCUUCUCUAAUAGUGGGCGGGAGGAUAAACCUGGAAAAUAAUUACAUGGCUACUGCAGUCAUCCAAGCAAGACAUGAUGACUUGAACUAGGGUGGUAACUGUCACAGUGGUGAGAAGAGGUUUGAUUCAAGUUCUUUUUUACAUAUGGGGCUGAAAAGACUUGCUGAUGGAUUGGUUUGGAGGUGGUGAGAAGAAGUACUAGGUGAGUAGGGAUGCUUUAUUCAAGAUGUACAAAACUGGAAAAGGAGAAAAUUCUGGAAAGACCAAUAAUUUUUCUGUCUUAUGUUUGAGAUGCCUUAAGAAAUACAAGUGGAGAUGUGAGAAGGCAAUUAAAUAUUCAAGGAGAUCAGGGGGGUUGAGUAGAGGAAGAAGUAACCAAGAAGAAACACCAGUGAAAUAGGAGGAAAAUUGAGAGCAUAUGGUUACAGAAGCCAACUACAGAAUGGAUUUUAAAUAGGAGGAAAUGGUCACCUCUGCCAAAUUUAGAGUGGUCAGAUUAGAGAGGACUGAGAAUUGACAUAAUCUUUGGCAAGGUCAAAGUCACUGGUGACAGAUCUGGUAAACAUUAUUUCAGCAGAUGCAAUGAACAUAUAAUUGGAGUGGGUUGAACAGAGAAAGAGAAGUUAGAAAGUAGAGAGAGCAAGUAUAGGCAACUCUUGAUAAGCUUUACUGUGAAGGCAUGCUGAGAUAGAGGGCAGAAGCCAGCAAGGAUGGAGAGUCUAGAGAGAGUUUAGUCAAGCAGGACAAUACUAAGGCAUGAUGCAGAAAAGAGGACACAUAAUGGCAGGAGUGAAAUCC